GAGACUCUGUGCGCGUGCAUAUCAAUAAGCGGAGGAAAAGAAACUAACAAGGAUUCCCUUAGUAACGGCGAGUGAAGCGGGAAGAGCUCAAAUUUGAAAUCUUCAAGGCUCUACCUUGACGAAUUGUAGUUUAUAUGAAGUGUUUUCUGUUAGUAGAGUGGCAAAAGUUCUUUGGAAUAGGACAUCAUAGAGGGUGAGAAUCCCGUAUUUGGUCAUUCUUUCUAGCUUUGUGAUACACUUUCAACGAGUCGGAUUGUUUGGGAAUGCAGUCCAAAAUGGGUGGUAAAUUUCAUCUAAAGCUAAAUAUUGGCGAGAGACCGAUAGCGAACAGGUACCGUGAGGGAAAGAUGAAAAGAACUUUGAAAAGAGAGUUAAACAGUACGUGAAAUUGUCAAAAGGGAAGCGUUUGACACCAGUGUUGUUUUUCCGAAAAUCAAUUACGAAUGUUUUAGUUUUUGAGGAGUUAUGACUUCAUCGGCUUGCUUCUCUCUUUAUGAAACUUUCUUAAUGCACUUUUCGGUUAACAAGUCAACAUCAAUUUCUUUUGUUGUAAAAGGGUAUGAGGAAGGUGGCUUUCUUUUCGGAGAAAGUGUUUAUAGCCUUGUACCUCUGCAAUCGGAGAGAUUGAGGUCUGCAGCGUAGAUCCUUCGGGGUUAGAUACAUUUGUGCUAAGUUAUAGCUUUUCAUAGACAACUUGUUGACUAUGUUUAGUCUUGUAGCUUACUCGCUUAUGCUAUUUUACCUACGCUUAGGAUGUUGACAGCAGUAUAGACUGU
rnacentral:rRNA from 1 species